CCACCACCUGCAAAACAAGCAACAUCAGGCCUUUAAAAAAAGGAGCUCACACUUUAUUUUUUUUGUCUUUGGAUGUUUUUUACCUUGUCACAGUACCAGCCGGCACUGACCCCGUCGUUGUCAUGUCCGAUGGUGACCCUGCUGAGCGGGCUGAGAAGCGCGGCGAUCUCCACGUUGAAGAUGUCGCAAGCAAGAGAGUAAUGGACGGAACCUUGCCGCUAUUCUUCAAGCCUUUGCUGCCAUGCAUCACGACGUGGAUUUUGGAGUUGGUCCCAGCUCCUCGGAUGUCUCCGGUUACAAUCUGGACGUUGUACACGAUCCCUGAGAGAAAUAGUUACAUGUGUGACGACCUGCCGUGUCACUAUGGUUCACAGAACUGGAAGCAACAACAUUAAAUAAUCAUGGCGGCUUUGUUGUAGCAAGUAAAAUA